rnacentral:rRNA from 1 species
UACGAAGGGUGCAAGCGUUAAUCGGAAUUACUGGGCGUAAAGGGUGCGUAGGCGGUUCGUUAAGUCUGUCGUGAAAUCCCCGGGCUCAACCUGGGAAUGGCGAUGGAUACUGGCGAGCUAGAGUGUGUCAGAGGAUGGUGGAAUUCCCGGUGUAGCGGUGAAAUGCGUAGAGAUCGGGAGGAACACCUGUGGCGAAGGCGACCCCCUGGUUGGAUACUGACGCUGAGACGCGAAAGCGUGGGGAGCAAACAGG